UAGACACGCUGAGUUGCUAGGCUGCUGGUUUGUCUCCACCAGAGCACACAGCCCACCGCAUGCCAGCUUUCUGGAUUUUGCCUCCAGUUUGCCCCAGGUGCAUAAGAAAUUCUUCUUCAAAUUGAGAUGCUGAGGGCGACCCCAUAGGAAGACUAGCAGUCUCAACUAACCUGGACCCCUGAGAUCUCUCAGACACUGAGUGACCAACCAGGCAGCAUACAACCAGCUGAUAUGAGGCCCCCAACACAUAUACAGCAGAGGACUGCCGGGUCUGGCCUCAGUGGGAGAAGAAGCACCUAACCCCUGGAGAGGCUUGAGGCCCCGCGGAGUGAAGAGAUGUGGUGUUGCAUGCCGGUGAUCCCAGCAUCCAGAGGCGGAGGCAGGAGAAUCAGAAGCUCACGGUGAUCCAGGACUACAAAGCAGGACAUCUUCAACCGAUAACAAAAACCUUGAGUACCUACCAUGAUGGGCUGUAGGCAGUGGCGUGCUUGCAAUGAAGGCUCAAGGCUCUGGGCUCCACUCCAACACUGAUUACGGUUCUAGAUAAUCAACCUGUCACUCUUACAAUUUUAGAAAGACUGAAGUCUGGAAAGAUUAAUUUCUGCUUUUAAUAAUUUAUUUCCUACACCACACACCCGCCACUUGCUUUUUAGCGAGGCUUGCAGUUUCUUGCUGAAAUCUAGACACUACAACCUCACGAAAAGAAACUUCUAAAUAGGCCUUUUGUGUGAAGGUUUGUUUGUCUGGCUGAACUUCAGGCUCUGAGUGUACUGUUUGCUGUCAUGGUAAGUAUUAGAAACCAAGGUUUCAUGUGGCAUUCUUGUUGUGGCCUCUCUAUUGCCUCUGAGCUGCCCUAGAGACUGCUUAAACGUUCUCCGGGGACUUAAUUAAGGAGUUCUCUAGGGUUCACGCCCAGCCAUUACUCGGCUGCCCAGUAGAUGCGGUGACCUGUGUGGUGUUUCUGUGCUCGGGCAGUAAGCAUGCACUGUGGAGCUGAGUCUUCACCAGUGCCCUUCACUCUUUUUUGUUCUGUUUUUCCACCUCAGGUGAGACUGGAAGUGUUAAAGAAAUUAUUUAAUUCCCAGCCCAUGGUUUCUACCCCACCUUUGAGUUCCCUGAUGAAAGACGCAUGCACAGCCUUUAUAUUUAUUUACAAUAUGCCUUAAACAGCACAAGAGCUGGGCAGCUGCCUACCCCUCAUGCUGUUAGAAUCUACUUCCCUACGCAUAACCCCGAGCUAUUACUUACUAUUUAUUAUGUUUCAUCUGGGCUGCUCUUAGCUCCAAUUGGGCAGCCCUCAGGGCCACGUUCUCUUGACUCUUAACCCAUGGCCACUUCUCCUUCUCUUCUCCUGCACCUCCUUUUCCUUGUGGUCCUCUCUGACGGCAAGCUGGGAAAUCUAAACCCCACCUCGGUAUCUUCUGUGAGCUAUUGGCUAUUGGCAUCUUUAUUCACCAAUCAGGACUAACUUGGGGGCAGGGUCACAGGGGCUAAGUGCAGAGUCUAGGUCUUAGGGCACACACAUAGCAUUACAAUAGACAGUAAAAGGCAAAAACCUCAACACGGAAGGCAGUUGCUGUCUUUCCCCCUUCCACUUAGUUAGGCACUGUGUUCUCUUGAGGGCAGGCCUCACUGAAGAACAGAAUAUUCUGGUCAUAUUGUAAAAUGGC
rnacentral:lncRNA from 1 species